rnacentral:rRNA from 1 species
GGAUUAGAUACCCUGGUAGUCCGCGCCGUAAAGGAGGUCAACUGGUUGUUGGAGUGCAUUAGUACUCAGUAACGAAGCUAACGCGUGAAGUUGACCGCCUGGGGGAGUACGGCCGCAAAGGUUGAAACUCAAAAGGAAUUGACGGGGACCCGCACAAGCGGUGGAUGACGUGGUUUAAUUCGAUGCAACGCGAAAAACCUUACCUACCUUUGAACAUGUAUGGAAUUCGCCAGAGAUGGCUUAGUGCUCGAAAGAGAACCAUAACACAGGUGCUGCAUGGCUGUCGUCAGCUCGUGUCGUGAGAUGUUGGGUUAAGUCCCGCAACGAGCGCAACCCUUGUCAUUAGUUGAUACAUUUAGUUGGGCACUCUAAUGAGACUGCCGGUGACAAACCGGAGGAAGGUGGGGAUGACGUCAGUCCUCAUGGCCCUUAUAGGUAGGGCUACACACGUCAUACAAUGGACGGUACAAAGGGUCGCCAACCCGCGAGGGGGAGCCAAUCCCAUAAAGCCGUUCGUAGUCCGGAUCGCAGUCUGCAACUCGACUGCGUGAAGUCGGAAUCGCUAGUAAUCGUGGAUCAGAAUGUCACGGUGAAUACGUUCCCGGGUCUUGUACACACCGCCCGUCACACCAUGGGAGCGGGUUCUGCCAGAAGUAGUUAGCCUAACCGCAAGGAGGGCGAUUACCACGGCAGGGUUCGUGACUGGGGUGAAGUCGUAACAAGGUA